GCUAACUGCCAUACCACCCGUAAUGCGCCCGAUCUCGUCUGAUCUCGGAAGCUAAGCAGGGUCAGGCCUGGUUAGUACUUGGAUGGGAGACCGCCUUGGAAUACCAGG
rnacentral:rRNA from 1 species